UACGAAGGGGGCUAGCGUUGCUCGGAAUUACUGGGCGUAAAGGGCGCGUAGGCGGAUAGUUUAGUCAGAGGUGAAAGCCCAGGGCUCAACCUUGGAAUUGCCUUUGAUACUGGCUGUCUUGAGUACGGGAGAGGUGAGUGGAACUCCGAGUGUAGAGGUGAAAUUCGUAGAUAUUCGGAAGAACACCAGUGGCGAAGGCGACUCACUGGCCCGUUACUGACGCUGAGGCACGAAAGCGUGGGGAGCAAACAGG
rnacentral:rRNA from 1 species